UACGUAGAAGACUAGUGUUAUUCAUCUUUAUUAGGUUUAAAGGGCUCGUAGGCGGUUUGUCGCGUCGGGAGUGAAAACACGGGGCUUAACCCCGUGCCUGCUUCCGAUACGGGCAGACUAGAGGUAUGCAGGGGAGAACGGAAUUCCUGGUGUAGCGGUGAAAUGCGCAGAUAUCAGGAGGAACACCGGUGGCGAAGGCGGUUCUCUGGGCAUUACCUGACGCUGAGGAGCGAAAGUGUGGGGAGCGAACAGG
rnacentral:rRNA from 1 species